GGACUAAGAAGGGCUUGGAGAAGGUGAAGACUUACAGGGAAUUUUCUGGGAUGUGGGACUUUCAGCAUAAACCGUAGAAAUUCUCAGGUAACUCUAGAUGAGUUAGUCAUCCUUGAUGACUGUCAUUAUCUCUUCUCAAAGGAUGACUAGGAGUUUGGGGAAGACCAUUCUAGAUCAAAGGGCAACAUGAACAAAAGCAAGGAGGAGAGAAACAGCAUGAGAGGUUCUAGGAGAACUGGAAGCAAUGUAGAGUUGCUGGAGGACACAGUAUGUGACAGUGCUGGGGAAAAUGAGGCAGAGGGUCAGACAAGAGGCAGACUGGGAAGAGUUUUGAAAAUCAUCUUAAGGAGCAUGGGAGCCUUUUAGGCAACUGAGCAACUGAUGGCAAAGACUGAAAGCCACAAGGCUCCGAAGGCUCCCCCGUUCUUGGCAUGGUGUGUCUGUUCUCCAGGCGCUCUCCUGGGUCUCUGGCAAUCUGCUCUCUGCUAAUUGGUGCAGAUGGGAGUAGGAAGGUGAACAGAGCACACGGGGGAGGAAGCAGAUUCUCCCGGAAGACUGAAUGACAUGAUAGAUCUAAAAUACCUCAUCCAUGGAUACAAGAGAAUUUUUAUAGCUUCCCCUGGAAGACAAUUAACAGGAUUUAAAAGGACGCAUGGAAACCCUACAGUAACAGAUGCACCCACAAAGCCAUGAUAAACACACUAGUUUAAAAUGAUGCUGGAAGAGUUUUAGGUUAAUUCCACAAUGGCUGUAGCAUCCUCUGCCCAGGAAGAGGAAAUGCCAGCUCCAAGAAUUACUGCUGCUGAUUACAACAUGGAAGAAACUUAAACUGUCAAGUGACAAGAAAGCUAUACAUCAAAGGAUGGUAUUGAGAAUAAACUUUGACAGCAAUACAAGAAAGGACAUUCAUUCAAAGGAACACCUAUGGUUUCUUCAUCGCAUAACAUAGAAGUAGGAGAACUCAAAAUCCGAUCCAAAAGCCACAGAGGCAGUCUGAGCUUAGUGAAGGGCCAGACAUGGUCGGGCUCCUUUGUUUCUCCAUAAGGUUCUGGCCAGGAACCAUCAAACUAGUGGCUUCCUAUCCUUGCUCUUCAAUUUCCCCAUUUAUAGCGCUGGACCCAAGGGGUCCUCUCCUUGCAUUGAAAACCUAAAAGGCUUACUUGAUCUUUCCAGAGCCCUAUGGCAUCCUCGGAUGCAACACAUCAUAGACAGUGGUCAGUAUUAUCACUUCAGGUGUGCAGCUCCAAUGGCCUUGACACUCAGGAUGCUUUGCAGAGUUGUGUGUUGACAGGUAUGGGAGCAAGUCAAGUACAAAGUGAUCUGAGACACCCCAGUGAGAUGGGCAAUGUCCAUGUGUCCAUCCUCCUGAUAGAAGCCAGAAUGAGUUGCUUCUGUGUCAUAAGAAGGCCCGUCUCAAACUUGAAGGAUGGUGGCCAGGUGUGCUGUCAAGGGUGUAC